UACGUAGGGUGCAAGCGUUAAUCGGAAUUACUGGGCGUAAAGCGUGCGCAGGCGGUUAUGUAAGACAGUUGUGAAAUCCCCGGGCUCAACCUGGGAAUUGCAUCUGUGACUGCAUAGCUAGAGUACGGUAGAGGGGGAUGGAAUUCCGCGUGUAGCAGUGAAAUGCGUAGAGAUGCGGAGGAACACCGAUGGCGAAGGCAGCCCCCCUGGGCUAACACUGACGCUCAGGCACGAAAGCGUGGGGAGCAAACAGG
rnacentral:rRNA from 1 species